AUUCUUACGAGUGCUGCUACGACCGUAGUGGAUGAAUUGCUGAACGUGUUGAUCUGUAGACGUUGUCUAAUUCAAGUGUUUAAUUAUGUUUAAAUUCGUCUUCCAUUUUACAAGUGAACCUCAGAUGCAGUAGGUGGGGUGUGUUGCGUCCCCAGGUGAUUUACUGCUGAGACCAACUGUGUUUGUAACCAGACCAGGAAUCCAUGGCUGAAGGAGCUGAUGGAGGAGCCGUGCUGAAGGCCCUGCCUAUUGGAGGAGCUGAUGGAGGAGCCGUGCUGAAGGCCCUGCCUGGUGGAGGAGCUGAUGGAGACCCUGCCUGGGGGAGGAGCUGAUGGAGGCCCUGCCUGCUGGAGGAGCUGAUGGAGGAGCCGUGCUGAAGGCCCUGCCUGGGGGAGGAGCUGAUGGAGGCCCUUCCUGAUGGAGGCCCUGCCUGGUGGAGGCCCUGCCUGGUGGAGGAGCUCGUGGAGGUUCUGCCUGGUGGAGACCCUGCCUGGUAGAGGAUGACUUUCGCUGUUCCAGGACUCGUCCGAGGAGAGUUGAUGGUUGAGCUGAGACGCUGGAGGACGACUAGGAAUCGACCAACAAGGAUUCCUCAUAAGUUUGCAUUUACUUAACAUUGUUGACUUAAAGGGCAAAAUACAGCGGUUACUUUGACAUGCGUUAACAAACUACCGCUGUGUUUUCUUACUAGAACGUGUUUCUGGAGCGGAGGCGAGCUGGCAGGGGAGCCGUGAAUCUGGAGGAUGACCAUCACUCUACCAACAUGGAUUACGUUGGGGCCAGACUUGCGCUGUUUGUUCCAGACCAGGCCUCUGAGGAGAGCUGAUGGAGGAGCCAAGACUCUGGAGGACGACAUCACUCUACCAACAAGGAUCCUCGUAAGUUUGCAUAAAACCAGGAAUCUGGAGGACUGACGGAGAAGCUGUACAUCUGGAAGGCAAAUCCUGAGGACAACCAGGACUCUACCAUCAAGGAUUCCUCACACACCUGAGCUGAACCCCACCUGAUCCUGUUUGGUCGGGGGCAGACACACCUGAGCUGAACCCCACCUGAUCCUGUUUGGUCGGGGGCAGACACACCUGAGCUGAACCCCACCUGAUCCUGUUUGGUCGGGGGCAGACACACCUGAGCUGAACCUCCCCUGAUCCUGUUUGGUCGGGGGCAGACACACCCCAGCUGAACCCCACCUGAUCCUGACACCCUGCUGGUCCCGUCUCCUCAGUUCAUCUGAGCCUCGUCCUCAGAAGACCUGCUGAGCUCAGCGGUCUGAGGCUGAUGGAUCAAUGACCUCCAGUGGGAGUGAUCUUCUUGACCCCACAUACCAGGAAUCCAUGGCUGAAGGAGCUGAUGGAGGAGCCGUGCUGAAGGCCCUGCCUGGUGGAGGAGCUGAUGGAGACCCUGCCUGGUGGAGGAGCUGAUGGAGGCCCUGCCUGCUGGAGGAGCUGAUGGAGGAGCCGUGCUGAAGGCCCUGCCUGGUGGAGGAGCUGAUGGAGGCCCUGCCUGGUGGAGGCCCUGCCUGGUGAAGGGGCUGAUGGAGGAGGAGCUGGUGGAGGCCCUGCCUGGUGGAGGCCCUGCCUGGUGGAGACCCUGCCUGGUGGAGGCCCUGCCUGGUGAAGGGGCUGAUGGAGGAGGAGCUGGUGGAGACCCUGCCUGGUGGAGGAUGUCUGUCAUGGGACCAGGACUCGUCCGAGGAGAGUUGAUGGUUGAGCUGAGACGCUGGAGGACGACUAGGAAUCGACCAACAAGGAUUCCUCAUAAGUUUGCAUUUACUUAACAUUGUUGACUUAAAGGGCAAAAUACAGCGGUUACUUUGACAUGCGUUAACAAACUACCGCUGUGUUUUCUUACUAGAACGUGUUUCUGGAGCGGAGGCGAGCUGGCAGGGGAGCCGUGAAUCUGGAGGAUGACCAUCACUCUACCAACAAGGAUUACGUUGGGGCCAGACUUGCGCUGUUUGUUCCAGACCAGGCCUCUGGGGAGAGCUGAUGGAGGAGCCAAGACUCUGGAGGACGACAUCACUCUACCAACAAGGAUCCUCACCAGGAAUCUGGAGGACUGACGGAGAAGCUGUACAUCUGGAAGGCAAAUCCUGAGGACAACCAGGACUCUACCAUCAAGGAUUCCUCACACACCUGAGCUGAACCCCACCUGAUCCUGUUUGGUCGGGGGCAGACACACCUGAGCUGAACCCCACCUGAUCCUGACAUCCUGCUGGUCCCGUCUCCUCAGUUCAUCUGAGCCUCGUCCUCCAGAAGACCUGCUGAGCUCAGCGGUCUGAGGCUGAUGGAUCAAUGACCUCCAGUGGGAGUGAUCUUCUUGACCCCACAUGUACCCGUGUGCUUCCACACGCCUUUCCUUCACUACUUCACUAACCUCACUACUUCACUAACCUCACUACUUCACUAACCUCACUACUUCCCUAUCCUUCCCCUUCUUCUUCCUUCUCCGUGGUUCGAACCUUUACUCUGAAGGAGUGUCUUCUUGAACCUUUACUCUGAAGGAGUGUCUUCCUGCCCUCAGAGGGUUCAGCGUUAGGGUUGAGAGUCAGGGUUUAGAGUCAGGGACAGAGCUGGUCAGGGAGGUCUGGUUUUAAACAAACCUCUUCACUUGCUUUCUGAAUGGUGACAUUUUGAAAUGUUUCAUUUGGGAAAAUGUUUUCCUCUGCUUUCCUUUAGAAAAACAUGUAUUGAACUUCUGUCAAGUGUUUUUGUUUAUGUAUUAAAAUCCUACAUUGACUGUUUGGUGCGGUUCAUUUAAUUGUCCAUAAACUUGGUUAAUGUCAAGCUAAACUCCUGCAAUACAUUGAAUUUACAUGAUGAAUGUUAUUCAGCAUUGUUCACAUAAUCCAUUUUGUAAAAAUAUAAAAUAUCCAAUGUACAUACUGCCCUCGCAGGCCAUUCUCUGCUACAACACGUUCAAACAUCAACUCGGUCUAACAUCAAUGUACUAUUAUGGAAGCAUACAUGUCGCAAAAUUCAAAUGGCAAUGCGAUUUGCAAUUCAAUAAGUCAUUACAUUAUGCAAUUGAAUUUGUAAAUAUGUUAUUCAAAGUGUAUUUUAAUAUGCAAAGUGACAGUGUAAUGAAUAAAAUUAAGUUGUAACAA